rnacentral:lncRNA from 1 species
ACCCUGUUGUAAUACUUUGUAUUGCUUUUGAUCUGGUCAGGUGCAAAGAUUACACGAAGGUACAAGUAUAUAUAUACUAUUAAGCCGGACUUAACCCAAACUGAAUAGGAAUUGAUAUCCUACAUGGAUACCCAUACACACACGGACACAGGGUUAAUUCGCAAAUUCGGCACUUUCUUCUACGUCCCAUAUGAUUGUCUGAAAUGAUGGGCUUCCUUAUGCCUCCCN